GAACGCACAUUGCGCCCGCUAGUAUUCUGGCGGGCAUGCCUGUUCGAGCGUCAUUUCAACCAUCAGGCCCCCGGGCCCGUGUUGGGGCACUGCGCGCCAGCCGCGCAGGCCCCCAAAACCAGUGGCGGGCUCGCUGUCGCACCGAGCGUAGUAACAUAUCUCGCUUAGGACGCGCGGCGGGCGCUUGCCGUAAAACACCCCCCUUCUCAAGGUUGACCUCGGAUCAGGUAGGAAUACCCGCUGAACUUAAG
rnacentral:misc_RNA from 1 species